ensembl:lncRNA
GGCAGAGCAAACCCCCGGCUGGCACAGCUGGGAGCAUCCCUGCAGAGAGCUGCAACGUCCCUGUCAGCAGUUUUGUUCAGGGGGACCCGGGGCCAGGUGGGACAGCCCCGGGUGUGCCUCCCACUGCGUGCUGCAGCCUCUCUCGCCUCCAGAUCAGUCACUGUUCUCUGCAACAUGCCAUGCCCUUCAGCACACUUUCCCCCUCUUUUUCUUGGGGAAGAAACGUCUGACUUACUCUUACACAUUUGGUAUUUGUGGGUAGGGAAAGGAGGAGAAAAUACAGGGCGCUCUGUGUACAAAUACCUUCUCUUCCUUAUGGGGAGGCAGCAGGCCAUCCAGGCAGUGUUCCAUCAUCCCCAUUACAACUGCCUGCUUUAUUCUAACCUGGCUCUCUGCAAUAACAUGGGCUGAAGUUCCCAACGGCCUGAUGAGCUCAUGCAGCAACAUGGAAGUUGCUCUGCAAACUCCGUGCAUUUACUUAUGGUCAAACGAAGCCAAAUGCCACUUUGUCCUUGUAAGCGACCAACAAAGGUCACUGAUGUCUGUCGCUGGGGCUUGGGACCCACUGCAUGGGGAACUCCGCUGGCUUCAGCAGAGCCCCCUGCACAACGUCAGGCAGAAUUUUGACCCAAAAUUGGACUGAUUUCGGUCACACCGAGACUAAAGGUCAGACUGAUCUUAACGAUGUCCUUCAGUUUCCUUUAGGAGUAUCUUUUCUGUUAAGGGAAGUGUCCCUGCAAAUGACGUAUAAAAUUGACACCACUUCAGCUGCUUUCAUUUUUAGUAGAGUUUUGGGAUUUCUUAGCUUUUCCUCAACUUUACUCUUUAACUGAAAUAAAUCUCAUUUCAAUGAACUCAUUUUGCCUUUGCUGAGCAGCUGCUCUUGCAAUUGCUGCUACAGCUACUUGAUUCCCCUCCCUAGAAUCAGAACCCAUGGCUUUGGGUUUUCCAUGUUUAUUAUUCAUUUAGUUCUUCCUUCAUGCUUCCAUGGUGGGCAGGAACAGAUGUGUCCCUCUGCGCAGAGAUGGGGGGCAGCCGGGGGGCUCCUCUCUGCUUGCCUGUCCUCUUCCAGCCGCACGCACAGGCAGCGACGGGACUGAACUGGGGCACGCUCCUGGCCCCCUCGGCAGGGAGCUCUCAGAGCUCUGCAGGGCAGGCAGCACAGCCCCAGCUGGACCCCAGCACGCUCCCACAGCCUGCUGGCAUGGCCCCGCAGCCCUGCGCACACACCCGGGCACCUUUUCCACUGCCCGGCCCGGGCCUGGGCUCCACAUCACCUGCUGCCGCCCCCCAGUAAUGCACUGCCCAUGUCACAGCAGGCGGGAGGUGCCCCAUGUCACAAAGGGGCGGGGACGGCCUUGGCCCCGGAAUGCCGGCCCCAAUGGCAGGCCCUCACCUCAAAUGGCCCUACAGGACACUGACUGAACUAAACCACCGCACACUCCUGGCCUCUCCUUUCCAGCAAUGUGCCAGACGAUGGUCCUACAAAACAGGUAAGAUCGCCCCAACCCACACCGGACCACGGUCUCACAGCAAGCAGGACGGUGGCACAAUCGGGCCAGGAUGGGAGUGAC